ensembl:misc_RNA Metazoa_SRP Metazoan signal recognition particle RNA
GCUGGGCAUGGUGGUGCGUGCCUGUAAUCCCAGCUACUUGGGAGGCUGAGGCAGGAGAAUCGCUUGAAUCCAGGAGGUGGAGGUUGCAGUGAGCUGAGAUCGCACCACUGCAUUCCAGCCUGGGUGACACAGCGAGACUCCGUCUCAA